UUUGCCUUGACGACUAUGCAAGUCAAAAAUGUCUCUCACUAAGUUCAGUGGGUGACGCAGUGAGAGGUAACAGCAGAGGCACUGUGGGGAAGAACUCCAGUGGAAGAGGUUACUUUGGGCUAUGUUUAAAGGAGACGUCUCGUUAUUUACAGACAUAUUUUCACUAACAACAGCAAAGGCUGGAGAAGAUGUGGAGGAAAUAGGAACUCAUUCUUCGUUGGAAUGCAGAGGGAAGGAGAGUUGUUUCCAGGAGGCACAAGGAAUCUCGUUCUUGCGAACUCAGGUCUCAAAGAUGGGAUUGCCAUCUAAUGCGCAUGUUCCCAAGAUGCUUCAAGCCACGCCAGACAGACAGCAGCAACAGAACUCCGCAUGUGCUGGAAAUCCCCAAACCAUACUUGAUUGGAAAGUAUCAUAAAAUGAUUUAAUUAAUUAUAGAACAAUUCACGAUUUAGUCGUUAGAAGCUGUCACACGCCUGUCAGAUCUCUGUACUGUCCUCUGCCGUCAUAACGUGAGUCAGUAAGUUCAAAGGCA